CUUCACGGAGCCGAGGAGCAGCGGGCGCUCGGUGUCCCGGUCCUUGCCGUAGGUGGCGAGGAGGGCCUGGGCCUC
rfam:Streptomyces albireticuli strain MDJK11, complete genome.